UAGGGAAUCUUCGGCAAUGGGGGGAACCCUGACCGAGCAACGCCGCGUGAGUGAAGAAGGUUUUCGGAUCGUAAAGCUCUGUUGUUAAGGAAGAACGAGUGUGAGAAUGGAAAGUUCAUACUGUGACGGUACUUAACCAGAAAGGGACGGCUAACUACGUGCCAGCAGCCGCGGUAAUACGUAGGUCCCGAGCGUUGUCCGGAUUUAUUGGGCGUAAAGCGAGCGCAGGCGGUUAGAUAAGUCUGAAGUUAAAGGCAGUGGCUCAACCAUUGUAGGCUUUGGAAACUGUUUAACUUGAGUGCAGAAGGGGAGGGUGGAAUUCCAUGUGUAGCGGUGAAAUGCGUAGAUAUAUGGAGGAACACCGGUGGCGAAAGCGGCUCUCUGGUCUGUAACUGACGCUGAGGCUCGAAAGCGUGGGGAGCGAACAGG
rnacentral:rRNA from 1 species